AUGCUCCACCCUCAGUCUCCCUCCUCCACUGCUUGGCCCACAGGCCCCAUGCUCCGUCCUCCCCACGGGCCCCCGCUGCCUGGGCCUCGGGCCCUGUGCUCUGCCCUCCACAGUCCCCCCCCCUCCACUGCUUGGCCCUUGGGCCCCCUCAGAUCCCACACUCCUGCCCCCAUUACGCCUGCUGCUCGUCGCUCCUGGGGUCACAGGCAGCGCACCCUAUGGGAGCACAGUCACGGCCCUGGAGGCGUGGCCACCUCGCGUGCCUGCCACGGCAGGUGGGGCGUGGGGAGGGCAGCACCCCCUCACUGCCUGUCUGGAGACAGGGUCCUCCCUUCUCCGGUCCUGGCUCAGGGUGCAGCGGCCGGUGCAGCUGACCCCGGCCUGGCCCUCGGAACACAGACCCAUUGGGCCGGGGGAGGUGCUGAUGUGGCAGCCUCGCGCGAGCACGCGUGCAAGCACUCACGUACACAUACCCUGAGGGAUGUGCGCACACUCACAGACGCAUGCACACGUGUGAACACCCAGACGGCCUUCUUUCAGCAGGUGGCGCGGACCANNNNNNNNNNNNNNNNNNNNNNNNNNNNNNNNNNNNNNNNNNNNNNNNNNNNNNNNNNNNNNNNNNNNNNNNNNNNNNNNNNNNNNNNNNNNNNNNNNNNGCAGGGCAAGGGGCGGUGCAGAGACUCGGCGGGGCGGGGCCCACCUGGGGAUGACGCUGGCCAUGCCGUGCUCGCAGUCGCUGGUGCUGUAGACGCUCAGCCGGGCCAGGAGGUCGAGCAGAAGAACGCGUCUUAGAAAGUCAUCAAUAAAAGGUAAAAAGUUAGGGCGUCAUAUAAAUUCCUGAGACGGGAGGACCCAGGCCCAUCCAGGCAGGUGGCCCUGCGUCCCUAGCCCACGGAGCCAGGAGCCAGGACGUGGACCGCGGGGCUUCCUCAGGGAGCUCAGAUUUUCAAGCUGCCCCUAGGCGAGUGGGCAACCUGGAAGUGCCCGCAUGGGCCACCUUACACCGCCCGCCCUACAGGACACACACCUGCACCUGAUCAGGUGCGCAACUCCGCCAACUAGACAGACUCUGUUCAGGGGCCACAGGGCCCAAUCUCCGUGCUCACUGGGCCCCCGGGGGUGUCCCCAUGGCCUGGCCUAACCACACACCCUUGGAUGACACAGCCCUGCCCUGGGAAGCUGGGAAGGGAGAUCCUCCACGGCUUGUGUUUGGAACGUAAUUUAGAAAUAGUCUUUUUUAUGAACCAAAGGCAGGCAGGAACGGAAGGACGUAGCAAGCAGGCUUCUAAGCACCGUGACCCGAACACUGUGUCAAAUCCGAGGUGAGGAAGGAGGCCGCCGGGGACUCCUGUGUCAGGCGGCCCAGCUCGCUGUCCAGUUUCAUGCUCUGCGUGAAUCUCUUGGGGGUCGGGAGGAAUGCUCGUCAGCCACAACCAACCCCCGAGAGGAAACGUAGCCCCUGCACGGCCAGGACGGGCUGCAGACUCGGGUCGUGGCUCCCGCCCCGCGCCCACCCAGUCCCGGCGGCACCUGCAUGCAGUUGGUGAACAUGACGCACACGGACAUGAGCUUGGAGAAGACGCGCAGGAGCUCGGGGUUGGUCAGCAUGCAGUCCUUCAGGCAGCUGUCCAGGAAGCUGGUGUGAUGCCCCAGCACGUCGUCGAUGUUGGAGGCCUGCGUGGGAGGCACCGUCGGGGGCGCCCGAGGGGACGGCACCACGUCCCCACGGGGCUGCUACCCAUGCUGCUCCACUCCUCUUUUAAACAACCCUGGGGCCUCUUAGGGAAAGCCUUCAAAAUGUUGCUAAAAGACCACAUUUAAUGUGCCCCACAAGGUCUAAGAUUUUGGUUUUUAAAGACAAAAUACACUGUUCGCUGUACUUUUGGUCCUGGAGUUUGGUGACGUGCCCCUGGCUGAAGGGCCCCAGGGCCCUGGACAAGGUGCCGGCCCAGCGCCGAGGCUCUGAGGGAAGGACGCGCACCUCCAGCAGCCUGAGCCCAGGAGUCCCGCGCGCCCUGCCUCCCCUCCUGGGAGCCGUGGGGCCCGGUCCUGCCUCCCUGGCCCCUGAGCCCGCUCUGCAGACCCCCCCGCCCGGUGCGGGGCUGGCGGGGCUGGACUCACAGCCCCCCCUCCCCGGUGCGGGGCUGGCGGGCUGGACUCACGGCCCGCAGGUUCUUCUCCAGGACGUGCCAGGUCGGCUCCAUCACCUCGAACAUCAUGUAGUACUGAAUGUUCUGCACGAAGUUGAGCAUCCGCUGCCGCAGGGUGAAGGCGCCCGCAAACCUGCGCGCGGCGGAGCCGUCACAUGGGCGCCCCGAGGGCCCGGGCCUCCUGCUGCUCCACACCCGGAGGGGCCUGGGCUCCG
rnacentral:lncRNA from 1 species